rnacentral:rRNA from 1 species
CAGCCGCCACGGUAAUACGGAGGGUGCAAGCGUUAAUCGGAAUUACUGGGCGUAAAGCGUGCGUAGGCGGUUCGUUAAGUCUGUUGUGAAAGCCCCGGGCUCAACCUGGGAAUGGCAAUGGAUACUGGCGAGCUAGAGUGUGUCAGAGGAUGGUGGAAUUCCCGGUGUAGCGGUGAAAUGCGUAGAGAUCGGGAGGAACAUCAGUGGCGAAGGCGGCCAUCUGGGACAACACUGACGCUGAGGCACGAAAGCAUGGGGAGCGAACAGGAUUAGAUACCCGCGUAGUCCCUGUCUCUUAUAC